rfam:Salmo salar isolate Sally breed double haploid chromosome ssa28, whole genome shotgun sequence.
UAUGCCCACGACUGUAAGUCGCUUUGGAUGAAAGCGUCAGCUAAAUGGCAUAUA